GCUCGGGUGGUGUAAUUUAGUAAACACGUACGCUUGAGGUGCGUAUGCCGUAAGGCGUGGAGGUGCAAGUCCUCUCCCGAGCACCA
rnacentral:tRNA from 2 species